AUGAAGUGUAUUAGAGAAGUAUUGAAUUUCUUUUGAAUAAAUAAAUCAAAAUAACAAAUCAAAUCAAAAAGUAAUUCAAGCUUUAAUUGUUUAAUUGUUGAAAAAGAAGAAUACAUGGUUUUUAAUUUUUUUCACAAAUAAAAAAAAUCUAAUCUAAGUGUUACAUGCAUUUUUAUUCAGGCACCCUGGAUAAUAAACUUGUAGAACCACCUUUUGCUGUAAUUGAAGCUCUACUUGGAAGUUUUUGCACGUGUGUGUGUCCCCUACAUGACUUGUGAAAAACUUUGAACGACUUGUAUUUUUCUUCUUGGCACUUUUCCAUAAAGGCCAGCUUUGCGGCGUCCACACCUAGUAGGUGUCUUCUCAACCGAUUCUCCUAGGUGAGCUGUGGAGCACUACAUCUCAUACGGAAAUUGAAGUACCCUGGAAAAAAGUUGCAUGGGCAGAGUUCUUCCUUGUUGCCUGCAGCCUCCACUGGUUGCAUUGGGGAGGACAGGUGCAUGAAGGUCUUGAUCCCACUGGCUGAGUAAAAGACUGCAUCUUCGAAGAAACCUUGGAUCCAAUAUAAAUGACUCCACCAUGCGUCCCUGCUCCAACCAAUCAGCAUCGAGUCCACAUUUCCUCUUCAGCCAACAACCGUCCAAGGCUCUGCUUUAAAGAUCUUCACUCAUGGACUUCCUCGCUCUUCAAGCUGAGCUGUGACCCUCCUCCUCCCCAUCUCCAUAAUCUGGCAUCGGAUCCUGGGGGAAAGAAAUCUCUAAUACUAAUCAUAAGUUGUUCAUUCAAGCUCAUGUCAUUCUCAGCG